CGAGUGGGGGACGGGUGAGUAAUGUCUAGGGAAACUGCCUGGUGGAGGGGGAUAACUACUGGAAACGGUAGCUAAUACCGCAUAACGUCGCAAGACCAAAGAGGGGGACCUUCGGGCCUCUUGCCAUCGGAUGUGCCCAGAUGGGAUUAGCUAGUAGGUGGGGUAACGGCUCACCUAGGCGACGAUCCCUAGCUGGUCUGAGAGGAUGACCAGCCACACUGGAACUGAGACACGGUCCAG
rnacentral:rRNA from 1 species